GCAUAUCAAUAAGCGGAGGAAAAGAAAAUAACAAUGAUUUCCCUAGUAACGGCGAGUGAAGAGGAAAGAGCUCAAAGUUGGAACCUGUUUGGCCUAGCUAAACCGGAUUGUAGACUGUAGAAGUGUUUUCCAGGCAAGCCGAGUAAAUAAGUCCUUUGGAACAGGGCAUCAUAGAGGGUGAGAAUCCCGUCUUUGGCUUGAGCAUUUGCCUUUUGUGAUACGCUUUCAAAGAGUCAGGUUGUUUGGGAAUGCAGCCUAAAUUGGGUGGUAAAUCUCACCUAAAGCUAAAUAUUGGCGAGAAACCGAUAGCGAACAAGUACCGUGAGGGAAAGAUGAAAAGAACUUUGAAAAGAGAGUUAAACAGUAUGUGAAAUUGUUAAAAGGGAACCGUUUGGAGCCAGACUGGCUUGUCUGUAAUCAAUCUAGGCUUCGGCCUGGAUGCACUUGCAGGCUAUGCCUGCCAACGACAAUUUGACUUGAGGGAAAAAACUAAGGGAAAUGUGGCCCACUUGUGGGUGUUAUAGUCCCUUAGAAAAUACCUUGGGUUGGAUUGAGGAACGCAGCGAAUGCUUUUUGGCGAGUUUUCCAGGAAGGUUUUCUGAGGUACUACGGUAUCAAGGUUGAUCUUUUUGGUUAUACUUCUAUUCGCUUAGGUUGUUGGCUUAAUGACUCUAAAUGACCCGUCUUGAAACACGGACCAAGGAGUCCACCAUUAGUGCGAGUAUUUGGGUGCCAAACCCAUAUGCGUAAGGAAACUGAUUGAUACGAAUCCAUUAAGGAGGCAGUAUCGUCCGGCGCUGACGUUUUAUACUGAAUUGACCGAGACAAAGCACUAAUGAUGGGACCCGAAAGAUGGUGAACUAUGCCUGAAUAGGGUGAAGCCAGAGGAAACUCUGGUGGAGGCUCGUAGCGAUUCUGACGUGCAAAUCGAUCGUCAAAUUUGGGUAUAGGGGCGAAAGACUAAUCGAACCAUCUAGUAGCUGGUUCCUGCG
rnacentral:rRNA from 2 species